UACGAAGGGGGCUAGCGUUGCUCGGAAUCACUGGGCGUAAAGGGCGCGUAGGCGGCGUUUUAAGUCGGGGGUGAAAGCCUGUGGCUCAACCACAGAAUGGCCUUCGAUACUGGGACGCUUGAGUAUGGUAGAGGUUGGUGGAACUGCGAGUGUAGAGGUGAAAUUCGUAGAUAUUCGCAAGAACACCGGUGGCGAAGGCGGCCAACUGGACCAUUACUGACGCUGAGGCGCGAAGGCGUGGGGAGCAAACGGGAUUAGAU
rnacentral:rRNA from 1 species